UUUUUUGGUAAAAGUAGGGUUAAACAUAUAAGAUUAUUUGUUUUUAAUAAUUAAAUGUGGUUUUUAUUGUUGGGUAAAUUGACAAGGGAUUAUAAUUUAAAAUACUAGGUUUUAAGCUCAAACCCCCGUGAAGCCUCUUGUAGUCAUUUUAUUAUUAUUUUUUUCAACAUUUCAAUUACUUUUUUUGUUUUUUCUUAAAUUUUAACUAUAGUCAUUUAUUAUCUUUUUGCCAACUUUUUAUUUCCUUUAUUUGUUUUUUCCGUAAAUUUUCAAUCAAAUAAAAGUAAGUAGAAAAAAAAAAACUAAAUUGAAACAAUCAAAUAUUCAACUUAAG
rnacentral:lncRNA from 1 species